rnacentral:rRNA from 1 species
ACGCUAGCGGCAGGCCUAAUACAUGCAAGUCGAGGGGUAGAGAGAGCUUGCUUUCUUGAGACCGGCGCACGGGUGCGUAACGCGUAUGCAACCUACCUUUAUCUGGGGGAUAGCCCGGAGAAAUCCGGAUUAAUACCGCAUAAAAUCACAGAAUAGCAUUAUUUAAUGAUCAAACAUUUAUGGGAUGAAGAUGGGCAUGCGUGUCAUUAGCUAGUUGGCGGGGUAACGGCCCACCAAGGCGACGAUGACUAGGGGAUCUGAGAGGAUGGCCCCCCACACUGGUACUGAGACACGGACCAGACUCCUACGGGAGGCAGCAGUAAGGAAUAUUGGUCAAUGGAGGCAACUCUGAACCAGCCAUGCCGCGUGCAGGAAGACUGCCCUAUGGGUUGUAAACUGCUUUUAUCCGGGAAUAAACCUUUCUACGUGUAGGAAGCUGAAUGUACCGGAAGAAUAAGGAUCGGCUAACUCCGUGCCAGCAGCCGCGGUAAUACGGAGGAUCCAAGCGUUAUCCGGAUUUAUUGGGUUUAAAGGGUGCGUAGGCGGCCUGUUAAGUCAGGGGUGAAAGACGGUAGCUCAACUAUCGCAGUGCCCUUGAUACUGAUGGGCUUGAAUGGACUAGAGGUAGGCGGAAUGAGACAAGUAGCGGUGAAAUGCAUAGAUAUGUCUCAGAACACCGAUUGCGAAGGCAGCUUACUAUGGCCUUAUUGACGCUGAGGCACGAAAGCGUGGGGAUCAAACAGGAUUAGAUACCCUGGUAGUCCACGCCCUAAACGAUGAACACUCGCUGUUGGCGAUACACAGUCAGCGGCUAAGCGAAAGCGUUAAGUGUUCCACCUGGGGAGUACGCCCGCAAGGGUGAAACUCAAAGGAAUUGACGGGGGCCCGCACAAGCGGAGGAGCAUGUGGUUUAAUUCGAUGAUACGCGAGGAACCUUACCCGGGCUUGAAAGUUAGUGAAUGAUCUAGAGAUAGAUCAGUGAGCAAUCACACGAAACUAGGUGCUGCAUGGCUGUCGUCAGCUCGUGCCGUGAGGUGUUGGGUUAAGUCCCGCAACGAGCGCAACCCCUAUGUUUAGUUGCCAGCAUGUAAUGAUGGGGACUCUAAACAGACUGCCUGUGCAAACAGAGAGGAAGGAGGGGACGACGUCAAGUCAUCAUGGCCCUUACGUCCGGGGCUACACACGUGCUACAAUGGAUGGUACAGAGGGCAGCUAGCUGGCAACAGUAUGCGAAUCUCACAAAGCCAUUCACAGUUCGGAUUGGGGUCUGCAACUCGACCCCAUGAAGUUGGAUUCGCUAGUAAUCGCGUAUCAGCAAUGACGCGGUGAAUACGUUCCCGGGCCUUGUACACACCGCCCGUCAAGCCAUGGAAGUUGGGGGUACCUAAAGUAUGUAACCGCAAGGAGCGUCCUAGGGUA